rnacentral:rRNA from 1 species
UACAGAGGGUGCAAGCGUUGUUCGGAAUUAUUGGGCGUAAAGAGCGCGCAGGCGGUCGUUCAAGUCGAGUGUGAAAGCCCCCGGCUCAACUGGGGAGGGUCACUCGAUACUGAUCGACUUGAAGGCGGGAGAGGGAAGCGGAAUUCCCGGUGUAGUGGUGAAAUGCGUAGAUAUCGGAGGGAACACCAGUGGCGAAGGCGGCUUUCUUGGCCCGGUUCCUUGACGCUGAGGCGCGGAAAGCGUAGGGUAGCAAAA